rnacentral:tRNA from 1 species
AUUUAAAUAGUUUAUUAAAACAUUGAUUUGUGGAAUCAAAAAUAUUUUAGGAUUUUAAAUA